rnacentral:rRNA from 1 species
CCCUUAGACGUUCUGGGCCGCACGCGCGCUACACUGACACAGGCAACGAGCUUUCCUUUACCGAAAGGUAUGGGUAAUCUUUUGAAACUGUGUCGUGCUGGGGAUAGAUCCUUGCAAUUUUUGAUCUUAAACGAGGAAUUCCUAGUAAGCGCGAGUCAUCAACUCGCGUUGAUUACGUCCCUGCCCUUUGUACACACCGCCCGUCGCUACUACCGAUUGAAUGGCUUAGUGAGGCCUCAGGAUCCGCGCUUAAUGUGUGGAGAAUUUGGACAAACUACGUCAUUUAGAGGAAGCAAAAGUCGUAACA